UACGUAGGGGCCGAGCGUUGUCCGGAGUUACUGGGCGUAAAGCGUGCGUAGGUGGUUCGUUAAGUCUGAUGUGAAAGCCCUGGGCUCAACCUGGGAAUUGCAUUGGAUACUGGCGAGCUAGAGUGCGGUAGAGGAUGGCGGAAUUCCCGGUGUAGCAGUGAAAUGCGUAGAGAUCGGGAGGAACAUCUGUGGCGAAGGCGGCCAUCUGGACCAGCACUGACACUGAGGCACGAAAGCGUGGGGAGCAAACAGG
rnacentral:rRNA from 1 species